GCACGCAGAAGGAGUGGAGUGGAGUAGCUUGCGAGAGCUGCUGCUGCUGGGGACGUUCCUUGACUCUGUCUGUCUGCCUGCCGUUUGCCCACCACACUGCCCUCUGGCUGCAUUUUAUUCUUCUGUUCUGCAUUAACAAAAUACAACCUGCUGAAGGUCGAGCUGUUUUACCUGGAAGGCACGCCGCCAGAGGCUUCAUUGGAAGGGGGCUUGGAAUUCCAGAAAGCCUGCCAAAGCUUUUCAAUGUAAUGGAACUGGAGGUUCAUCACGACGUCUACGCUGGCCUGAGACAGACAGACGACUCAUAAGAUUCCUCAGAAAGAUGCAAGUGUCACCGAGUUGGGUUCGGAAAACGGCUGCAGCUUCCCUGACAGGUAGCCGUUCAGCCUCUGCUUGGAAACCUCCAGCAAAGGAGAACCUGCCACUACAUGAGGCAGACGGUUCCACUGUCCAACAGCUCUUACAGCCAGGACAUGUCUCCUUCUAAAGUCUAACCUAAAUCUGCUUCCUUGUAAAUUCAAUCUGUUGAGUCUAAUCCUUCCUAAUGUCGGAAGUUGCCAGGCUGCUGGAUCACAUGAAAAGGUCCAUCAAGCACAGCUUCCUGCUUCCAACAGUGAGCAGCCCCACACCCCACUGGAAAGCCAAAAAGCAGGACAUGACGCUGCUGGAAUUCAGGUAGAUUGCUCCUGAAGAUGGUGGUUCCAAUUAGCAAUCAAGGCUAAUAGUUCAUUAGGACAAAUCCAUGGAGGAGACGACCGUAACUCUUUUUGGAAGCCAACUAAGGUAGUGCGCACCACUACAUCCUGUGGCAGAGAACUCCAUAAACUUAAUGACAUCGUCUAUGAACAAGGACUAUGUGCUCAACAGCAUGCAAUGAGGCAGGCAAAGUUUAGUAUCUUUGUGAGCUGAUGCUCCAUAGCCAAAGUGUCAGCUGUAUCCAGGAAAGAUCCAUGCCCAGAAUCCUACCCACAUGGUUGUACAGUUUUCUUUUUAUGCUAAAGGCAUGUAGACUUGGGCAUUGAGGCAUUCACAGAGUUUUCACAGGGAGCGGGUCUUUUUGGUGGUUGCACCCCAUUUGUGGAAAAGCCUCCCCAGUGAGGUUUGUCUGGCUUCGUCACUUUGUUCUUUUCAAUGCCAGGUGAAGACUUUUUUGUUCACUCAGGCCUUUUAAAUUUUGAUUUUUAAAAAAGUUAAAUUGUUUUGUAUUGUAUUUUGUGUUCUUUUCUCUUUUGGUAUGUUGUGAUUCCAUGUCUUAAGUGUUUUUACUUGAUGUUUUAAUACUGUGUUGUGAGCCGCCCAGAGAACAAUUUGUUAUGGGGUGGCUAACAAAUAAAGAUCACUAUUCAUUAUCAUUAUCAUCAUCAUCAUCAUCUCCUCCCUCUGUAGAGGGAAAAGUUAUGUCUGAAUUGGCCCCAAAUACAGAAAAAUCUCCGGAUGAGCAGCUCUUUGGAUAGAAAGAUCUCUGGAAGAGUAACCCAAAUCAGGCUGAAAUUAUGGGAUGGUUAUCACAAAAAUCCAAUAUGGCAGGAGUUCCAAAUGUGGGUAACCAGAUGUUGUUGGACUCCAACUCCCAUCAUCCCCCAGCCACAGUGCCCUUUGGAUGAUGAGGGAUGUAGUCCAACAUCUGAGGACUCACAUUUGAGAACCCUUGCAAUAUUUUAAAUAUUGUUUAAAUUGUUUUAAAUUGUUUUAAAGGGUUUUAAUUGUACCUGUUUUCCAGGAUUUUAAAAUUGUUUUAUUGUUUGAUGA